AUUGAACGCUGGCGGCAGGCCUAACACAUGCAAGUCGAGCGGUAGAGAGGUGCUUGCAUCUCUUGAGAGCGGCGGACGGGUGAGUAAUGCCUAGGAAUCUGCCUAGUGGUGGGGGAUAACGUUCGGAAACGGACGCUAAUACCGCAUACGUCCUACGGGAGAAAGCGGGGGAUCUUCGGACCUCGCGCCAUUAGAUGAGCCUAGGUCGGAUUAGCUAGUUGGUGAGGUAAUGGCUCACCAAGGCGACGAUCCGUAACUGGUCUGAGAGGAUGAUCAGUCACACUGGAACUGAGACACGGUCCAGACUCCUACGGGAGGCAGCAGUGGGGAAUAUUGGACAAUGGGCGAAAGACUGAUCCAGCGAUGCCGCGUGAGUGGAUGAAGGCCUUAGGGUUGU
rnacentral:rRNA from 1 species